AUGGCGGCCAUGUCGGAACCCCCGACCCCCUCCCAGCUGACGGAGGAAGAGGAGGAGGAAGGAGAAACCAGGCAACCCACGGCGGCGGGGAGAGAGGAGUCGGAACAACAGGCGGACAGCGGGUACAGCUGGGGGCUGCUUGUAGGGCGGGCUGUGGGGAGAGAGGAAGGGGGUCAGAUUCUGCCCCAUAGAGACCUCCUGCCCCAUAGAUUUUGGCCCAUAGAGACCUUCAGAUCCAUAGAUUUCGGUCUCCUGCCCCAUAGAUUUUGGCCCCAUAGAGACUUUCGGACCCAUAGAUUUUGGUCUCCUGCCCCAUAGAUUUUGGCCUCCUGCCCCAUAGAUUUUGGCCCCAUAGAGGCCUCCUGCCCCAUAGAGACCACCUGCCCCAUAGAUU
rnacentral:lncRNA from 1 species